rnacentral:ncRNA from 1 species
UGACCUCAGAUCAGCCAAGGCAACCCGCUGAAUUUAAGCAUAUUAAUAAGCGGAGGAAAAGAAACUAACAAGGAUUCCCCUAGUAAUGGCGAAUGAAGCGGGAACAGCUCAAAUUUGAAAUCUCCGUUGCUUGCAACGGCGAAUUGUAGUUUCGAGAAGCACUUUCUCGGCGGAUCCGAGGUCGUCCAAGUUGCUUGGAACAGCACGUCGUAGAGGGUGACAACCCCGUCUGCGGCGACCUCGGCCGUUCACGAUGUGCUUUCGACGAGUCGGGU